CAGAGGGGGUGCAUUGACUUGCCCAAGACUCCACAACUGAGCUGGGAUUUGAACCCAGGUCUCCUCUGAUUUCAAAGCCCUUGCAGUUUCUGCUGCACCACACUGUGGAGUGCUGGGUGGAGAAAGGAAGUGUUCGCUUCCUCUGCUGCAGUGUGGACUAGCUGUUUUUGAUGAUCAAAGGAGACUCACAAUGGGGCUAGGUAGGAACGUGGCUGGGCUGAUAAAUGGCCAGUCUAUCUGCAAACCUGCCUAACUGAGAGGUGGGCCCAUCUGAGCACUUUCCUGCCUCCUUCUCAAGCCUUCUAAGGCUUCCCACUGCCUAGAGGAUAAAGUCCCACUUCUUCAUGUGGCAUUCAAUGUCCUUCGCAGCCUGUCUCCAAGUGCUCCCUUGUCCCUUGUCGUGAGCUUGUCCAGCUGGUCUCGCUGCUCCUGAACUUAACCUCCUGGCUCCAUGAUUCUGUCCCUGCCAUCUCUCCUCCCCAUCACUCCAACCUGGGGCACACUCUCCCCAUUCCAAGCCUUGUCCUCUUCGUCCCCUUGCAGGGGCCUUUUGGGGCAAACCUCUGUCACUCCCCUUCCUGGUGCAUAAACUACUCACCCCUCCCUGGAGCUCCUCAAGCCCCUGCCUCAGCCCAAGCCCACUUGGACCUGGACCUGUCACUGGAUUCGUUCACACGGGCCAAGCUUUCCCACUGGCCCAUGUCUGAGGCCAUCAUCUCUGUGGCCAGUGCACAGGGGAGGACGCUGCACCAGUUUAGGAACUGCACUAACCACAAGGAGAGUAAGAAGCAGGAGUGAAAUGGCCAAAGGCUGGAUUCAGGAAGUGGAGAAGGCAAACUCCACGUGGGCAGGGAUCCUGUUUUAUCAUCUCUGCUUCCUCACUGCACAGAACAGUGCCGGGCACAACUCAAUGCGGAGUUGCUGCCUAAGCCUGUGACCCUGAGAACGCAGGUGCUGCCAGAAUGGAACCCUUAGAGCGAGCUGGACUCUGGCAGCACACAUGGCCUGUGAGGACCCCUUCUCUGUCUCCCACAGACCCUCAAUGGCCUCCCAUUUCCAUUUUUGUACCCCACAGUCUGGGAGCUCCACCCCAGUUCUGUCCUUGGCUGAGUCAUCUUGGUGUCCCCAGGCCUGGCUCAGGGCCUGGCAUGGAGGAGGAGCUGGGUAAAUGUUUGUGGUGUUAAAUUGGACCAGUCUCCAGCUCCUCACUGCCUCCACAUCUGAGGAGCCCCAGGGAAGGGGCCGGCAAAGAGAGAUGAAAGA
rnacentral:lncRNA from 10 species